rnacentral:rRNA from 1 species
UAGGGAAUAUUAGACAUGGGCGAAAGUCUGAUCUAGCAACACCGCGUGUGCGAAGAAGGCCUUCGGGUUGUAAAGCCCUUUUUGGAAGGAUUAGGAAGGAAUGUACUUCCAGAAUAAGUCUCGGCUAACUACGUGCCAGCAGCCGCGGUAACACGUAGGAGGCAAACGUUAUCCGGAUUUACUGGGCGUAAAGCGCGUGUAGGUGGUUCUGUAAGUAGGGCGUGAAAGCUCCUGGCUCAACUGGGAGAGGCCGUUCUAAACUGCAGAGCUAGAGGAUGGUAGAGGGAGGUGGAAUUCCGGGUGUAGCGGUGAAAUGCGCAGAUAUCCGGAGGAACACCAGUGGCGAAAGCGGCCUCCUGGACCAUUCCUGACGCUCAGACGCGAAAGCUAGGGUAGCAAACG